rnacentral:lncRNA from 1 species
GAAGCCAUCAUUCUUUAGAGGGUAGUGACCAAACAGUACCAGCAGAAAUUGAAGUACCAGCAGAAGGGAUCAUGGCACAAGUUGCAGUUUCCACCCUGCCCAUUGAAGAUGAGGAGUCUGUUGAAGAUGAGUCUUUGGAGAGCAGGAUGGUGGUGACAUUCUUAAUGUCAGCUCUCGAGUCCAUGAGUCUCACUUUGCUGCCUAGGCUGGAGUGCAGUUGGCACCUUCUCGGCUCACUGCAACCUCUGGCUCCCAGGUUCAAGCGAUUCUUCUGCCUCAGCCUCACAAGUAUCUGGGAUUACAGGUGUGCACCACCUCGCCCGGCUAACUUUUUUUUUGUAUUUUUU